AUUGAACGCUGGCGGCAUGCCUUACACAUGCAAGUCGAACGGCAGCACGGGAGCAAUCCUGGUGGCGAGUGGCGAACGGGUGAGUAAUAUAUCGGAACGUGCCCAGUCGUGGGGAUAACGUAGCGAAAGCUACGCUAAUACCGCAUACGAUCUAAGGAUGAAAGCGGGGGAUCGCAAGACCUCGCGCGAUUGGAGCGGCCGAUAUCAGAUUAGCUAGUUGGUGAGGUAAAGGCUCACCAAGGCGACGAUCUGUAGCUGGUCUGAGAGGACGACCAGCCACACUGGGACUGAGACACGGCCCAGACUCCUACGGGAGGCAGCAGUGGGGGAAUUUUU
rnacentral:rRNA from 1 species